rnacentral:lncRNA from 1 species
ACCGCUCUGGAAAGCUGGUUCUAGAUCCAAAGCUCAUGGAGCUGGAGAAGUCUAGAACCACAGGGCGGGGCUCUAGAUCCACUCAGAGAGCUGCGUCGCAGGAUUCACGUGCAGCCAAGACAGCAAGCACCGCCUCACUGCCCAGGCUGGAGGGCAGGGGCUCCUCCUCCUCCCCCCGCCCAGCAAAGGGGCGGAGUUAACGUGCCACAAACCUAGGGGGGAAGUCUACACAGCUUUUUUCUUUUUGUCAAAGCACCUAUAGCAAGAGAGGAACGGAGUGGGGCCGGACCCUUUAGGCCCUUGUCCAAGCACAACAGAAGUCCGGCUUUGUAACCUGAUGAGGGUUUUAGGCUAUGAAAAACGAUGCCAAUUUCACACCACGUUCACCAUCUGAGAGUUGGAUGGAUCCAGCUGGAAGUCCCAAGGUCGGAGACCCGGUUUGGGGUUAAGACGGCCCUUUUAGCGUUUUAGGGGUGAUUAUACCUAAUUUACCCCCAGGAAACCCUUUGUCCUGGAGGAGGGGGAGGAGAAGCAAUGGGAAGAACUGGGCUCCAUUCCCUGGUAAGCUCCGGUCGGAAUACAGACGUGCUCAGCCGUUCUCUUGCACUGCCUGCCCGGCCUGCCAGGUGUAUCCUCCAUUCAACCAGGAGCCCCGCUCAGCACUGCCGCACUGCUUGGUGUGUGCUCUCUCAUUCAACCAGGAGCCCCGCUCGGCACUGCCGCACUGCUUGGUGUGUGCGCUCUCUCAUUCAACCAGGAGCCCCGCUCAGCACUGCCGCACUGCUUGGUGUGUGUGCUCUCUCAUUCAACCAGGAGCCCCGCUCGGCACUGCCGCACUGCUUGGUGUGUGCGCUCUCUCAUUCAACCAGGAGCCCCGCUCAGCACUGCCGCACUGCUUGGUGUGUGUGCUCUCUCAUUCAACCAGGAGCCCCGCUCGGCACUGCCGCACUGCUUGGUGUGUGCGCUCUCUCAUUCAACCAGGAGCCCCGCUCGGCACUGCCGCACUGCUUGGUGUGUGCGCUCUCAUUCAACCAGGAGCCCCGCUCAGCACUGCCGCACUGCUUGGUGUGUGUGCGCUCUCAUUCAACCAGGAGCCCCGCUCGGCACUGCGGUACUGCUUGGUGUGCGCUCUCAUUCAACCAGGAGCCCCGCUCGGCACUGCGGUACUGCUUGGUGUGUGCGCUCUCUCAUUCAACCAGGAGCCCCGCUCAGCACUGCCGCACUGCUUGGUGUGUGCUCUCUCAUUCAACCAGGAGCCCUGCUCAGCACUGCUGUCUCACGUUGGAACUCCUCUUUGCACGGAGACAAGAACCUAUGUCCCCAUCCCCGCCGGCACCACCAGGUCACCAACCUGCUGCCCAGGACCUGGGAGUUGGGGUCCCACCUUUGUGCUCUGCCUUCUUGUAAGAUUCCCAGGGCAACUCUGGGAGUCGGCCAGGCUCCCCUCUGCCGCUCCGCGAAGGUCCACCAAACCAAAUGAACCCGGCUCCUACCAGUUCCUGUGCCCAGCUCCUACCAGUUCCGGUGGGCGGUGCUCCGUAGCCUGCUUCCUGUGCCCACUGGGUUCUGUUGUGCUCCCAGGGCCAGAGGCCCAGCACCAAGGGGCAGAGCCGCUCCCUUCGGAGCAAGUGGCCGGCUGACACCAAGGAGUUCGCUCUACCCCUGAUGCUGUGGCCUCACAGCCCUGGAGACACAGGAGGUGGAAAAUCCACCGUCCGAUCCCAGACACGAGCCCCCAGGAUUCGUGUGCAGAGACAAGACACCAAGGCCUUCAACAGGAAGUCGUGUUUUAUUAUUUACGCCGGCAUAAAGCACAGGUGGAAUUCCUUAUCCACAAGCCCGCCCCAGCAGAGGGGAUUGCCCAAGAUACGGUUGUAGUCUCUGUCUCCCUUAUAUGGUUACCUGCACACAUGUGAGGCAUGGGUACAACACUGCACAUGCGCACGCAGUUCCCGAUGGUGUUCUUGCACACAUACUGAGCUGUGAGCUGUCCGGCAAGGGUUAACGCCGGUGCUGGGCAGGCAGGGCACUCCCAGGCCAGCAGAGAGGAGGCAGUUCCCCUCCCCUGCCCUUGGGAAGCCGGCUACCACAACUUCAGCCGGGCCAGUGAGAAACAAGUUUAAAAGACACGGGCUUCUACCACGGCUGGAGGUGGAUCCACAACCACAGGGCCACAGGACUGGAAGCCCAGAGAGGCCUCCCGCGCUAUCUCGUCCGAUUUCCCACUAAACGUGGCUCUGCCCACAGAGCUCGCUUGCAUACCCACAGGAACGGCGAGCUCACGCCCAGAGCUUUAGGAAGUCCUUUUUAGAUCGAGCCCGAAUACCUCUCCCCGACACACCCUCCUGUCCUGGCGUCUCGGGACAGACUCUGGCUAGGUGAACGCGUGCAUUCAAACACUGCCACG